GGGAGCGUAGUUGAGAUCUACAAUGUUGGAGUGUUGAACCAGAGGAGCCCGAAGGGGGUCGUUCUCG
rnacentral:tRNA from 1 species